rnacentral:rRNA from 1 species
UACGUAGGUGGCAAGCGUUGUCCGGAUUUACUGGGCGUAAAGGGAGCGUAGGCGGACUUUUAAGUGAGAUGUGAAAUACUCAGGCUCAACCUGGGGGCUGCAUUUCAAACUGGAAGUCUAGAGUGCAGGAGAGGAGAGUGGAAUUCCUAGUGUAGCGGUGAAAUGCGUAGAGAUUAGGAAGAACACCAGUGGCGAAGGCGACUCUCUGGACUGUAACUGACGCUGAGGCUCGAAAGCGUGGGGAGCAAACAGG